UACGGAGGGUGCAAGCGUUAUCCGGAAUCACUGGGUUUAAAGGGUGCGUAGGCGGCUUGAUAAGUCAGGGGUGAAAGCCCGCAGCUUAACUGCGGUACUGCCUUUGAUAAUGUCGAGCUUGAAAGAGGUUGAGGUCAGCGGAACGUGACAUGUAGCGGUGAAAUGCAUAGAUAUGUCACAGAACACCGAUUGCGAAGGCAGCUGGCUGGACCUACUUUGACGCUGAGGUACGAAAGCGUGGGGAGCGAACAGG
rnacentral:rRNA from 1 species